AAGUCGUAACAAGGUUUCCGUAGGUGAACCUGCGGAAGGAUCAUUAGUCUUUUUUUAGAUGUUGGGGGGUGUGCUCUCUUUUUUUGUAAGGGGGGUGCUGAUUUUUGAGAUUUUUUUCUUCUUUACAAUAAAAAAACAAAACAAAACACAACAGUCAACGGUGGAUCUCUUGGCUCGU
rnacentral:misc_RNA from 1 species